rnacentral:lncRNA from 1 species
UUCAUCUCCGGUCAGAUUCCUGCGGGUCUCGGUCAGCUACGCAACCUGAGAACACUCGACCUCAGCUACAACCUGUUCGCCGGAGCAAUUCCUACAGCUAUCGGAACCUUACCAGAGCUCUCCAACGUCAUUCUCUGCCACAAUCGCCUCUCCGGUUCGGUCCCUCCGUUUGCCUCCCAAACCUUAACCCGGCUCGACUUGAAGCACAACGACCUCUCCGGUUCGCUCGCUCCCAACUCCCUCCCUCCUUCUCUCCAAUACCUGUCUCUCUCCUGGAACCGGCUAACCGGUCCGGUCGACGGCCUCCUGAAC